GGGCCCGCACAAGCGGUGGAGCAUGUGGCUUAAUUCGAUGCAACGCGAAGAACCUUACCUGGGCUUGACAUCCCGAUCGUACCUUUACGAAAGUAGAGGGUCAGCUAGGCUGGAUCGGUGACAGGUGCUGCAUGGCUGUCGUCAGCUCGUGCCGUGAGGUGUUGGGUUAAGUCCCGCAACGAGCGCAACCCUUAUCCUUAGUUGCCAUCAGGGAGUGAUCUGCUGGGCACUCUAGGGAGACUGCCCGUGAUAAGCGGGAGGAAGGUGGGGAUGACGUCAAGUCAGUAUGGUCCUUAUGUCCAGGGCUGCACACGUGCUACAAUGGCUGGUAUAAUGGGACGCCAAACCGCGAGGUGGAGCAAAUCCUCAAAACCAGCCCCAGUUCGGAUUGGAGUCUGCAACUCGACUCCAUGAAGCCGGAAUCGCUAGUAA
rnacentral:rRNA from 1 species